AUUUGUUAUUGAAAUUUGUCUAUUUAAUUCUCAAAAUGAAUGUUUUUGUGUUAGUUUUGGAAUGCAAGGAGAAGGAUGUUCAUGAGUAAUUAAUUAGCAUGUAUUUGGGAUUGUGAUGUUAUUCUCUAAAGAUGAUUAUUAAUGUGUGGGUUGUUGGUAUUCGCUGUGAUUUGGGCAAUGGCUUAUUUGGGCUGUGAAGCCACAUUGCUAAAAUUCCACUGCUUCCUGUUCCAUAAUCUUUUGCAGUGGACAGAAAAACGGGAGAAAGAGAGAGAGUGGCGGUGAUGGAGGAACUGGCCAUGGUCUCCGGCCAGCUGCCCUCUUGUCCUUUUUGGGGGUUUCAACCUCCAUUCGACCACUGGAGUUUUAGCAAGUGUGUUUUAGGUGACGACGUCUAGGGUUCUAGCGAAUUUUUGGCCUGUCACCUACCCGGUGAUGAUGGUGAGUUGCUAUUUGGUAUGGCAACUCCGGUUGCAACCAUAGCACCACUGAGCCGACUUCUCUUGACAACGAUGAGGAAGUGUGACAUUUUUUCUCUUUUACAGCGACGAUGACGGUCUUUUCGAAUCUGAUUCUAUUGGUGUUGGUGAUUUCGUUUUUGGUCACCGAAGUUCAAGGCAAAAUAUUGUUCCAGUUUCAGUUUUAGACUCAUAAGCUGUAAAAAACUCACGAAGGCUGUGAUGACUGGUAGGCGCCAUUGCUUGGCUGGCAUAAUCAAGGACGUUGCAGCUUCUUAAUUGGAAGUUAAUAUUCAUGUUAUCAACUCAAAAGAGGACAAAAACAAGGUCAAGAACAUGUAUAUGAAGUGAUCAAGAUUUUGAUGGGUUGUUGGAAUAGAUGGGGAUUUAUUGGCAGCUCUGUUCUUCAGGAUUUAGUUAUGUAGGGGCUUGGGU